GUGAGGAAUAUUGCGCAAUGGAGGCAACUCUGACGCAGCCAUGCCGCGUGCAGGAAGAAGGCGCUACGCGUUGUAAACUGCUUUUAACCGGGAAGAAACCCCAGGACGUGUCCUGGGUUGACGGUACCGGAGGAAUAAGCACCGGCUAACUUCGUGCCAGCAGCCGCGGUAAUACGAAGGGUGCAAGCGUUAUCCGGAUUCAUUGGGUUUAAAGGGUGCGUAGGCGGAGCGUUAAGUCAGUGGUGAAAUCCUGCAGCUUAACUGUAGACUUGCCAGUGAUACUGGCGCUCUUGAGUGCGCUUGAAGUGGGCGGAAUGUGCCGUGUAGCGGUGAAAUGCUUAGAUAUGGCACAGAACACCAAUUGCGAAGGCAGCUCACUAAGGCGAUACUGACGCUGAGGCACGAAAGCGUGGGGAUCGAACAGGAUUAGAUACCCGGGUAGUCC
rnacentral:rRNA from 1 species